rnacentral:rRNA from 1 species
CCCUUAGACGUUCUGGGCCGCACGCGCGCUACACUGACGAAGGCAACGAGCUUUCCUUUACCGAAAGGUACGGGUAAUCUUUUGAAACUUCGUCGUGCUGGGGAUAGAUCAUUGCAAUUUUUGAUCUUGAACGAGGAAUUCCUAGUAAGCGCGAGUCAUCAGCUCGCGUUGAUUACGUCCCUGCCCUUUGUACACACCGCCCGUCGCUACUACCGAUUGAAUGGUUUAGUGAGGACUCCUGAUUGGCGCCGCCGCCCCGGCAACGGAGCAGCGGACUGCCGAAAAGUUGUUCAAACUUGAUCAUUUAGAGGAAGUAAAAGUCGUAACA